rnacentral:tRNA from 1 species
GAAUAGGAAGCGAAUAUUGCUCUCGGUUUCGACCCGACUCUUGGUCCCUAGACCCCUAUUCU